rnacentral:lncRNA from 1 species
GCCCGGGAGGCGUGGCCACCAAGGGGCCGGGCCCUGCACAGCGCCCUGGGGAAGCUGGUUUGAAAGCUCUGGAGCGACCCCAAUGCCGGAUAUUUACGUAAUUUCGAAGCAGCUCUUCACAAAAUAUUCAUCAGUUACAGAAGGAAGUCACUUCACAGUGGAAAAAUCUGGCAGGUGCCACCUUAAUCAAGUAACCAAAAUGAACAUCAUCAGUAAUAGGACAAAUUGCAAUCGUGUGCCUCCUGAUAGUCUAGCAAGAAGAACACAGCAUCACUUCUAUGAUGCUCCUGCCAAUAAUAUAUAAUUGGAAUCUAAUCCUAAAGCAACAAAUUCAAAUUAAGGAAAAUUCUACAAAAUAAUUGGCCUGUAAUAGAAGUGUUAAAGGUCAUGAAAGUUAAGGAAAGACUGAAGAACUGUUCCAGACUGAAGAUGAAAGAGAUGUGAGAAAUAAGUGCAGUGGUGAUUCUGAACUGGAUCCUGACUUGGCAAAACUUGAAUAGGUCUGUUGGUUGGAUGGUAGAAAUAUAGUAAUGUUGAUUUCCUGAUUUUUGCUAGCUAUAUUACAAUUUUAUUGGAUUCAGUCCUUGUUUACAGAAGACACACAGUAUGUAGGGGUUAUAAGAAGUCAGCUCAGGAACUUUCAAAUCAUUUAGCAAAACAAAAGUUCUUCGUACUUUAAUUCCAAGACUUCUAUAAAUUUGAGAUUAUUUUUAAAAUACUUAAAAAAAACUCCUUUAAAGUCUCUCAACAUGCUGUCCUAUUAAUAAUAGAUUUCUAAAUUUUUUAUUUUUAUCAACGUUUUGUGUGCCCAUAGUUUGAAGUAUUAAAUUGUUUUUAUUUAUUAA